rnacentral:rRNA from 1 species
GUCUAGUGGCGCACGGGUGCGUAACGCGUGGGAAUCUGCCCUUUGCUACGGAAUAACAGUGAGAAAUUACUGCUAAUACCGUAUGAUGUCGAAAGACCAAAGAUUUAUCGGCAAAGGAUGAGCCCGCGUAGGAUUAGCUUGUUGGUGAGGUAAAGGCUCACCAAGGCGACGAUCCUUAGCUGGUCUGAGAGGAUGAUCAGCCACACUGGGACUGAGACACGGCCCAAACUCCUACGGGAGGCAGCAGUGGGGAAUCUUGCGCAAUGGGCGAAAGCCUGACGCAGCCAUGCCGCGUGUAUGAUGAAGGUCUUAGGAUUGUAAAAUACUUUCACCGGUGAAGAUAAUGACUGUAGCCGGAGAAGAAGCCCCGGCUAACUUCGUGCCAGCAGCCGCGGUAAUACGAAGGGGGCUAGCGUUGCUCGGAAUUACUGGGCGUAAAGGGAGCGUAGGCGGACAUUUAAGUCAGGGGUGAAAUCCCAGAGCUCAACUCUGGAACUGCCUUUGAUA